rnacentral:lncRNA from 1 species
GGCAAACAAGAAAAGAAAGGAUUUCCCUUAUAUCACUAGUGAAUUCCUCCCACAAGAGGAAGAACUACAAGAGUCGAGAAGAAACAUAAUGAGGCAGAACUAGAGAAGACUUUAAAAUAAAGUAGAAGAAAAGCGGGUGCUAGGUGAGAGAAAAAAAUGGUUGAGCCUGUUGAGGUUGUUCACAUGUAUGAGAUGGAACCUGUCGUUUAAGAUGAGGAUGAGACUGAAAAAAUGAAGGUUCUGACUCCCAAGCCCA